rnacentral:rRNA from 1 species
ACGAACGCUGGCGGCGUGCUUAACACAUGCAAGUCGAACGGAAAGGCCCUGCUUUUGUGGGGUGCUCGAGUGGCGAACGGGUGAGUAACACGUGAGUAACCUGCCCUUGACCUUGGGAUAACUUCAGGAAACUGGGGCUAAUACCGGAUAGGAGCUCCUGCUGCAUGGUGGGGGUUGGAAAGUUUCGGCGGUUGGGGAUGGACUCGCGGCUUAUCAGCUUGUUGGUGGGGUAGUGGCUUACCAAGGCUUUGACGGGUAGCCGGCCUGAGAGGGUAGCCGGCCACAUUGGGACUGAGAUACGGCCCAGACUCCUACGGGAGGCAGCAGUGGGGAAUAUUGCACAAUGGGCGGAAGCCUGAUGCAGCAACGCCGCGUGCGGGAUGACGGCCUGCGGGUUGUAAACCGCUUUCGCCUGUGACGAAGCGUGAGUGACGGUAAUGGGUAAAGAAGCACCGGCUAACUACGUG